rnacentral:rRNA from 1 species
AAAAGUCGUAACAAGUCUCCGUGGUGACAGCGGAGGGAUCAUUACUGAGUUUAUCUACAACUCCCAACCCUUUGUGAACCUUACCGUCGUUGCCUCGGCGGGCUGUGCUUACCCUGUAGCUACCCUGUAGCUACCCGGUAGGUGCGCUCCAAGCCCGCCGGUGGACCACUAAAUUCUAUUUUUAUACUGUAUCUCUGAAUGCUUCAACUUAAUAAGUUAAAACUUUCAACAACGGAUCUCUUGGUUCUGGCAUCGAUGAAGAACGCAGCGAAAUGCGAUAAGUAAUGUGAAUUGCAGAAUUCAGUGAAUCAUCGAAUCUUUGAACGCACAUUGCGCCCAUUAGUAUUCUAGUGGGCAUGCCUAUUCGAGCGUCAUUUCAACCCUUAAGCCUAGUUGCUUAGCGUUGGGAAUCUGCCCUGUAUUUAUAAGGCAGUUCCUUAAAGUGAUUGGCGGAGUUAGGGCAUACUCUAAGCGUAGUAAUAUUCUUCUCGCUUUUGUAGUUGUCCUAGCGGCUUGCCGUUAAACCCCUAUAUUUCUAGUGGUGACCUCGGAUAGGAGGAUACCCGCUGAACUUAAGCAUAUCAAUAAGCGGAGGAAAAGARAMCAACAGGGAUUGCCCUAGUAACGGCGAGUGAAGCGGCAACAGCUCAAAUUUGAAAUCUGGCCCUAGCGGUCCGAGUUGUAAUUUGUAGAGGAUGCUUUUGGUUAGGUGCCUUCCGAGUUCCCUGGAACGGGACGCCAGAGAGGGUGAGAGCCCCGUACGGUUGGACACCGAGCCUCUAUAUAGCUCCUUCGACGAGUCGAGUAGUUUGGGAAUGCUGCUCUAAAUGGGAGGUAAAUUUCUUCUAAAGCUAAAUACCGGCCAGAGACCGAUAGCGCACAAGUAGAGUGAUCGAAAGAUGAAAAGUACUUUGAAAAGAGGGUUAAAUAGCACGUGAAAUUGUUGAAAGGGAAGCGUUUGCGACCAGACUUUUUCCAGGCGGAUCAUCCGGGUUCUCACCGGUGCACUUCGCCUGGUCUAGGCCAGCAUCGGUUCUCUUAGGGGGAUAAAGGCCUGGGGAACGUAGCUCCUUCGGGAGGUUAUAGCCCCUGGCGUAA